UGAAAUUUGAGAGGUUUUAAAUUUAUUUAUUACAGAUUUGGACAGUGUUUGAAUCAAUUGCCAGAGAAGUGUGAAUCAUUGGGAAAGCUACUCUAUUCGCUAUAUAUAAAAGAGUUGCCUCUUACGGGAAGUAUAAAGGAGGUAUAUUUUCAUGGCAAGAAAGGGAGCUGUUAUUUAUUUGCAAACUUAUUGUGGCAGAAGCUAUCAAGUAUUUCACAAGAUCAAUUUUCUCUUCAAUCAGUGAGAUGUGACCAUAUGAUUAAGUUUCAGCCAAUGAGAUGUUCUAAAAGCACCUGAGGAAGAAAUGUUUAAUCAGAGUUUCUAAUUUUGGACAACCUUGGUAACAGCUACUUUAAAAGAAGAAAAUAGAGGCUAAUGAAGGAUGCUCACUGAAUGCUCAAAAUGAUGAACCGAAACCAGCUAAACCUGCUCUUUUCAUGAAGUUCUCUGCUUUGGGGAAACUCUUCCCUACUUCAUCCUCACUCAGAUAUUGAAACUGAAGUUUCCUCCCAGGAUUCAGCCUACCUGGAUUUUGAGCCAAUACUUGCAGAAGUAGGUGAAAUCUUUUCUUGUUUGGGGAAAG